AAGUCGUAACAAGGUUUCCGUAGGUGAACCUGCGGAAGGAUCAUUAAAGAACGCCCCGUUUUUUGAAAUGGGAAAUUCCCAAACCGUGUAUACAUACCUUUGUUGCUUUGGCAGGCCGCCCCUCGGGGCGUUGGCUUCGGCUGACUGCGCCUGCCAGAGGACCCAAACUCGUUUGUUUAGUGAUGUCUGAGUACUAUAUAAUAGUUAAAACUUUCAACAACGGAUCUCUUGGUUCUGGCAUCGAUGAAGAACGCAGCGAAAUGCGAUAAGUAAUGUGAAUUGCAGAAUUCAGUGAAUCAUCGAAUCUUUGAACGCACAUUGCGCCCCUUGGUAUUCCGAGGGGCAUGCCUGUUCGAGCGUCAUUAUAACCACUCAAGCCUCGGCUUGGUAUUGGGGUACGAGGUUUCUCGGCCCUUAAAAUCAGUGGCGGUGCCAUCUGGCUCUAAGCGUAGUAAUUUUUCUCGCUACAGAGUCCAGGUGGUUACUUGCCAAAACCCCCCCUCUUUUAAGGUUGACCUCGGAUCAGGUAGGGAUACCCGCUGAACUUAAGCAUAUCAAUAAGCGGAGGAAAAGAAACCAACAGGGAUUACCUCAGUAACGGCGAGUGAAGCGGUAACAGCUCAAAUUUGAAAUCUGGCUCUUUCAGGGUCCGAGUUGUAAUUUGUAGAAGAUGCUUUGGGUGAGGCUCCGGUCUAAGUUCCUUGGAACAGGACGUCAUAGAGGGUGAGAAUCCCGUACGUGACUGGGUGCCUUUGCUCGUGUAAAGCUCUUUCGACGAGUCGAGUUGUUUGGGAAUGCAGCUCAAAAUGGGUGGUAAAUUUCAUCUAAAGCUAAAUAUUGGCCAGAGACCGAUAGCGCACAAGUAGAGUGAUCGAAAGAUGAAAAGCACUUUGGAAAGAGAGUUAAACAGUACGUGAAAUUGUUGAAAGGGAAGCGCUUGCAACCAGACUUGCAUGCUGUUGAUCAUCCGAGAUUUUUCCCGGUGCACUCGGCAGUAUUCAGGCCAGCAUCGGUUUCGGUGGGCGGAUAAAGGCCUUGGGAAUGUAGCUUCUUUCGGGGAGUGUUAUAGCCCUCGGUGCAAUGCGCCCUACCGGGACCGAGGACCGCGCUUCGGCUAGGAUGCUGGCGUAAUGGUUGUAAGCGACC
rnacentral:rRNA from 1 species